rnacentral:rRNA from 1 species
CCAAUAGCGUAUAUUAAAGUUGCUGCAGUUAAAAAGCUCGUAGUUGAAUUUCGGGAUCAAUAUGUCGGUCGUGCCUCGGUACGUACUGGCUUAUUGGUUUCUCCUUUCUGAAGAACCAUGAUGUCAUUUAUUUGGUGUCGUGGGAAAUCAGGACUGUUACUUUGAAAAAAUUAGAGUGUUUAAAGCAGGCUCACGCUUGAAUACAUUAGUAUGGAAUAAUGAAAUAGGACGUUUGAUUCUAUUUUGUUGGUUUCUAGGAUCGACGUAAUGAUUAAUAGGGAUAGUUGGGGGCAUUAGUAUUCAAUUGUCAGAGGUGAAAUUCUUGGAUUUAUUGAAGACUAACUACUGCGAAAGCAUUUGCCAAGGAUGUUUUCAUUAAUCAAGAACGAAAGUUAGGGGAGCGAAGACGAUCAGAUACCGUCGUAGUCUUAACCAUAAACUAUGCCGACUAGGGAUCGGAUGAUGUUAAUUUUUUAAUGACUCAUUCGGCGCCUUACG